UGCCAAUGAUGCGAAACUCUUAAGGCUUGUUUCUCAAAACAUUCGCAGUGGCCGCCUGAGUGCUUUCGCCUCGCCAGGCUUGAGAGCUUAUGCUGCUUAACUGUUCCUUCCUUGGAUGUCUGAGGCA
rnacentral:snoRNA from 1 species